rnacentral:tRNA from 1 species
GGCCGGCUAGCUCAGCUGGUUAGAGCGUCGUGCUAAUAACGCGAAGGUCUUGGGUUCGAUCCCCACGCUGGCCA